GGAGUCGGCCAGGCAGUCGCGUCACCUUGAUCCACUUCGGUGGUGACGGGUGCCGAGGAAAGUCCGGGCUCCACAGGGCACGGUGCCAGGUAACACCUGGGCGGCGCGAGCCGACGGAAAGUGCAACAGAGAGCAGACCGCCGAACGGUCCCUCCGGGGAUGCGUGGCAAGGGUGAAACGGUGCGGUAAGAGCGCACCGCGAGUCUGGCAACAGACCGGCACGGCAAACCCCACCGGGAGCAAGACCAAAUAGGGACCUCAUGGCGCUGCCCGCGUCGGGUCCGGGUAGGUUGCUCGAGCGUAUCGGUGACGAUGCGCCUAGAGGAAUGACUGUCCACGACAGAACCCGGCUUAUCGGCCGGCUCCGCCA
rnacentral:RNase_P_RNA from 2 species